rnacentral:lncRNA from 1 species
CCGUCUCAAAAAAAAAAAAAAAAAAGAAGUACGUGGGGAGGCUCUUCAACAGCAGGUGAUCCGGCGGAGGGCGCGAGGUUGGGAGGGAGGACGACGGAGGGUGCGGGGGGACACGGACGCCGCCGGGCACCCCCACGCGCAUCGCGGCCCAAGCUGGGCUCUGGGAGCAGCCUCAUGACCGCUGCAAAGACGUGUUCUCAGCACAAAGAAAUCUAAAAACCACAAGAAAAUUGCAAACGCCACGAACACCUCCCCACCGAAAGCCACGAAACCCCCUCCAUGGACCACCACGAAACCCCAGUGGCUGAACACCUCGGAACCCCGACCACCAACCUCCUGGGGCCCCAGCUUGAAUACCUCCUGCGCCCAGGAUUUCACUACCUCUCCGGACAGCCCAUUCUCUCCAAAUUUCUGGACGGCAGCUCAGGCCCCUGGAUGCAGCCAUGACUGCCAUAGCACCAGAAUUGUGCCUCCAUGCUGGGCUGAUGCCCCUGCCCCCAUGCCAAGGAUGCUUUAGUAUACCUUUUGGUGCUCCUGCUGCCUCAGCCACAGGAACGCACUGGUGCACUUGGGGCAGGGUUGUCAUGGGGCUGGGUUGGGAGGGUCUACAGGUGCUGAACUGGGAAGAUUCAAGCUCAAGACUGCCACUUCACCGAUUGCCGAAUGACCACAGAGGAGUCCCUGCCUUCCUCUGGCCACAACUUGUCCCUCUGUGGAGAGGAUGAGCUGAGUGACUGAUGACCUCAUGGACGUUCUGGAUGAUUUACAAGCACAGCCUGCUUUCCCUGUUGCGUCCGCCCUGCCCUCCCCUUUCCAUGCAUUUGGCUCUUCCUGCUGCCCCCCACCAGGGGUCCACAGAGACACAGAGAUAAGCUGUGCUUUGACUUGCUUUAUUGAGCCUGUGCAGGAACAGGGAGUGAGCUUCGGCCAGAGCCAACAGUGUGGA